AGUAAUGUCUGGGAAACUGCCUGAUGGAGGGGGAUAACUGCUGGAAACGGUAGCUAAUACCGCAUAACGUCGCAAGACCAAAGAGGGGGACCUUCGGGCCUCUUGCCAUCGGAUGUGCUCAGAUGGGAUUAGCUAGUAGGUGGGGUAACGGCUCACCUAGGCGACGAUCCCUAGCUGGUCUGAGAGGAUGACCAGCCACACUGGAACUGAGACACGGUCCAG
rnacentral:rRNA from 1 species